rnacentral:rRNA from 1 species
GACGAACGCUGGCGGCGUGCUUAACACAUGCAAGUCGAACGGUAAGGCCCCAGCUUGCUGGGGUACACGAGUGGCGAACGGGUGAGUAACACGUGGGUGACCUGCCCCGCACUUCGGGAUAAGCCUGGGAAACUGGGUCUAAUACCGGAUAGGACCGCACCGUGAGGGUGUGGUGGAAAGUUUUUCGGUGUGGGAUGGGCCUGCGGCCUAUCAGCUUGUUGGUGGGGUAAUGGCCUACCAAGGCGGCGACGGGUAGCCGGCCUGAGAGGGUGGACGGCCACAUUGGGACUGAGACACGGCCCAGACUCCUACGGGAGGCAGCAGUGGGGAAUAUUGCACAAUGGGCGGAAGCCUGAUGCAGCGACGCCGCGUGGGGGAUGACGGCCUUCGGGUUGUAAACUCCUUUCACCAUCGACGAAGGUUUUCUGACGGUAGAUGGAGAAGAAGCACCGGCUAACUACGUG